rnacentral:rRNA from 1 species
GAGUGGCGCACGGGUGCGUAACGCGUGAGCAACCUACCUCUAUCAGGGGGAUAGCCUCUCGAAAGAGAGAUUAACACCGCAUAACAUAUAUGCCCGGCAUAUACUGGUGAUUAAAUAUUUAUAGGAUAGAGAUGGGCUCGCGUGACAUUAGCUAGUUGGUAGGGUAACGGCUUACCAAGGCGACGAUGUCUAGGGGCUCUGAGAGGAGAAUCCCCCACACUGGUACUGAGACACGGACCAAGACUCUUACGGGAGGCAGCAGUAAGGAAUAUUGGUCAAUGGGCGGAAGCCUGAACCAGCCAUGCCGCGUGCAGGAUGACUGCCCUAUGGGUUGUAAACUGCUUUUGUCCAGGAAUAAACCUAUAUACGUGUAUUUAGCUGAAUGUACUGGAAGAAUAAGGAUCGGCUAACUCCGUGCCAGCAGCCGCGGUAAUACGGAGGAUCCGAGCGUUAUCCGGAUUUAUUGGGUUUAAAGGGUGCGUAGGCGGCCUAUUAAGUCAGGGGUGAAAUACGGUGGCUCAACCAUCGCAGUGCCUUUGAUACUGAUGGGCUUGAAUCCAUUUGAAGUGGGCGGAAUAAGACAAGUAGCGGUGAAAUGCAUAGAUAUGUCUUAGAACUCCGAUUGCGAAGGCAGCUCACUAAGCUGGUAUUGACGCUGAUGCACGAAAGCGUGGGGAUCGAACAGGAUUAGAUACCCUGGUAGUCCACGCCCUAAACGAUGAUAACUCGAUGUUGGCGAUAGACAGCCAGCGUCCAAGCGAAAGCGUUAAGUUAUCCACCUGGGGAGUACGCCCGCAAGGGUGAAACUCAAAGGAAUUGACGGGGGCCCGCACAAGCGGAGGAGCAUGUGGUUUAAUUCGAUGAUACGCGAGGAACCUUACCCGGGCUUGAAAGUUAGUGAAGAAUGCAGAGACGCACUCGUCCUUCGGGACACGAAACUAGGUGCUGCAUGGCUGUCGUCAGCUCGUGCCGUGAGGUGUUGGGUUAAGUCCCGCAACGAGCGCAACCCCUAUGUUUAGUUGCCAGCAUUUAAGGUGGGGACUCUAAACAGACUGCCUGUGCAAACAGAGAGGAAGGUGGGGACGACGUCAAGUCAUCAUGGCCCUUACGUCCGGGGCUACACACGUGCUACAAUGGAUGGUACAGCGGGCAGCUACAUAGCAAUAUGAUGCUAAUCUCUAAAAGCCAUUCACAGUUCGGAUUGGGGUCUGCAACUCGACCCCAUGAAGUUGGAUUCGCUAGUAAUCGCGUAUCAGCAAUGACGCGGUGAAUACGUUCCCGGGCCUUGUACACACCGCCCGUCAAGCCAUGAAAGUUGGGGGUACCUAAAGC